rnacentral:lncRNA from 1 species
AUGUGCCUUUGGAGCUGGCUCCACAAAUGGAAGAGGGCACUGAAGAGGACUUCUCCAUUUCCUGGAUAUUUGCAUCAUAUGGUGGCAGUAUCGGAAGAAGGAGGGGAAGCAGAUUUGGGACCCCAGUCCCAGGCAGAGUUGCAGAUUCCACUUGUUAAAACAAGAGUUCCCAGAGGGAGCCCUAACGGCAGGCUCCAGAUGGGGCAGGCACAACGUAUCAAACUGUAAUUCCACUCACGGGUUCGAGGAUCAAAUCCUAUAUCUCUCCAAAGGAUCACUUUAAACCACCUGGAUGUGUUUCCAGGCAACAAGUUGCCUAACUAUAUGUGACCAGCAAGGAUGCCUGCCCUCUGUAGCUGUGCUUAAAAGGAUCCAUGAUGCCUGCAGUCAU